AGACAAUGACAUUUCCUUCAACCUUUAGCACAAGUCUCCUUGCAGUCGGCUAAACAAAAACACCUGCCGAGAAAACAUCUCAAAGAUAUUAAGUCUAUCAACGUCAUUGUCUGUCAGGACAGUCAUGGAACAUCUGGGCUGCAGGGCCAUCGUGGCCUUUUGUUUUGUGGGGGCAGUUAUUGCAGGUGCACAUCCUCCUGGAUCAGUCCUGGGGGAGACUCAAGCAUUUCAAAGAAAACUCCUGAUGGAAUAUGAUAAUAACCCUGCCUCAACAACCACUGCCCACCCCACCGUGGCUGGUUCCUCCACAGGCUCUACCUACCUGGUUGCAGCACUGGCCUCCGCCUUCACUGUCUCCCUGUUCCUCGUGGUGGCCU